rnacentral:rRNA from 1 species
GAUGAACGCUGGCGGCGUGCCUAAUACAUGCAAGUCGAGCGAACAGACGAGGAGCUUGCUCCUCUGACGUUAGCGGCGGACGGGUGAGUAACACGUGGAUAACCUACCUAUAAGACUGGGAUAACUUCGGGAAACCGGAGCUAAUACCGGAUAAUAUAUUGAACCGCAUGGUUCAAUAGUGAAAGACGGUUUUGCUGUCACUUAUAGAUGGAUCCGCGCCGCAUUAGCUAGUUGGUAAGGUAACGGCUUACCAAGGCAACGAUGCGUAGCCGACCUGAGAGGGUGGUAGGCGACACGGGAAGUGAGACACGGACAAGAGGAAUGAGGGAGGGACCAGGAGGCAACGGGCGGCAGAGGGGGGAAGUCUGACGGAGCAACGGGGAGCGAGUGAUAGAGGUUUUGGGAGCGUAAUAAUGUGCUAUUAGGGAAAAACAAAUGGGUAAGGAACUAAGCACGGCGUGACGGUAACGGAUAAGAAAGCAACGGCUAACUACGUG